rnacentral:rRNA from 1 species
UUAUGUAGCCAUAUUCCCCUGAAUGUGUUCUGUCUCAUCUGAUCUUGGAAGCUAAGCAGAGUUGGGCCUGGUUGGUACUUGGAUGCGAGACGUACAAGAUUCUUUAACCAGAGGCUAGAAACA